GAUGAACGCUGGCGGCGUGCCUAAUACAUGCAAGUCGAGCGAACAGACGAGGAGCUUGCUCCUCUGACGUUAGCGGCGGACGGGUGAGUAACACGUGGAUAACCUACCUAUAAGACUGGGAUAACUUCGGGAAACCGGAGCUAAUACCGGAUAAUAUAUUGAACCGCAUGGUUCAAUAGUGAAAGACGGUUUUGCUGUCACUUAUAGAUGGAUCCGCGCCGCAUUAGCUAGUUGGUAAGGUAACGGCUUACCAAGGCAACGAUGCGUAGCCGACCUGAGAGGGUGAUCGGCCACACUGGAACUGAGCCACGGUCCAGAGUACUACGGUAGGCCGCAGUAGGGAAUCUUCCGCAAUGGGCGAGAGCCUGACGGAGCAACGCCGCGUGAGUGAUGAAGGUCUUCGGAUCGUAAAACUCUGUUAUUAGGGAAGAACAAAUGUGUAAGUAACUAUGCACGUCUUGACGGUACCUAAUCAGAAAGCCACGGCUAACUACGUG
rnacentral:rRNA from 1 species